AGGGAUGUCAUUUAUUCCUCAGAAAACAUAGCGAACAUUUAUUCAAUCCUGAGAUGGUCUAGAGGGAAGAGUGUCUGCAAGAAAAACACCAAAUUAAAAGAGAAUCCGACAUUGUAUUCAGUAAUAAAAAUAAUCUGUGUAUACAUUCGUAUGAACAGUAAUUUUACCUAUUUAUGGCAGAAAAUCAUCAACCUGGCAUCCUUACACUACUUUUUUGGGUUCGACGAUAGCCUGUUGUAAAUCAUUGCUGACAACUGUGGGAUUCACUACCAAGACAAUGUGCUUCCUAUUGCUUGAGCGAGCCCAACCAUACAAAACCAUGAGCAACCAAUGAACCUUUCUUGCAAAAACAGAUGAACCUUCCUAUGCUAAAAUAGAUCAAUUAAAAGCGUGAUAGUAAUAAGUCAACAUUUUUUAAUGUAAGGAAUCGAUUCAUCAAACCUCCUUCAGUCCUGCAAACAUCCGCCACAAAAUCACAACACUUACCUUUGAAGAGACCACUCAUAGCAGCAACCUCAUUAGAACCAAUCAAAUCUGCUUUUUGUGACCUAUGGAGAUAAAUUUCGCUCCAUGGAGGAUCAUAUCAAAGGGUAACAUAAUCUGAAGAAUCGUAUAAAUACCUAUCAGCAGUCCAGCUCCGAUCCUCUUGAAUGUUGUUCUGUCGCAUGGAAACAAUGUCGUAGAGCACAUUUGUUUUACUGAAUUGAAUCGCAUUGAGACCUACCAAAAAGGAACCAACUAAAUGAGAGAUGCACGUAGCCAUGAUGCAUAGAUCAUGAUAAUAAAGAAGGCCUAUGUCUGAUAAUAUCAGCUAUAUGCAUAAAUCAACAGUAGAUGUACACUUUUGCAGUUUUUCUUGACUGUAUUCUGUACAUCACCAAGCAUAGCACUCCACGCAGGGUCCCAAACAACCAACGCACAUGCCUGGGGCUGGCCACGCUCCUUGCACACAUCAACAACGUCUACAUAUGUCUUUAGCAAAGCUGCUGAUGAAACAUGCCCUUUUUAGAAAGACAACACUGCUUUGCACCACGAACAGAGGCAUCCUAACAUAGGAAGAUGCAAACUUGUAUAAAGACCUUGCUUUCUUCCCAAUAAACAACAAAAUGGGAAAACACCCAUCUAUAAAAACAGGUCUAUUAAAUCAAUAGAAAUUACUUGCUGAAAACCCCUAAAACAACUACACUCUAUGUUGUCAGAAUGUCAUCUAUCUGAAGCCAAAGAAUGAGCUGGACAGACCAUGGUAAACAAGGCAUGAAAUAAACACAACCCACUUUCUAAUAGCAAAAAACUAACUUUUUCACGGUUCAAAUUAGGAAAAUCAAAUCAAAUUGAAGCCAUAAUAAUCAACGGUAUCUCAUAAUCCUUUUUUUGCUGAAAAAUCCUAAAAGGACCAAAUCACGCAUCUGAAUUGAAUGGUAGGAUGAAUGGACUCACAAACUAAUACUGACCAGCAUCCCUUGUGCAGUGCGCAUAGCGACCGCCAUGUAUCCCCACGCACCGGAGUCAUUUACCUGUACAACAGCAACGCUAAAAAAGAACUACAGAAAUCACAAACCACCAAGCCGACAGAAGAAGAAGGACGACGGAAACGCAAACCAACCAUCAGACGCACCCCAGAACAUCCCUCGCAAGAAAUUGAUGCAGAGGAAGAAGAAACCGGCAACAGCAGACCCGCCGCCCACCCCUGGCGAAGAGGCAGGCAUCUGACCCCCUCCCUCCAAAGAGGCAGGCACCGAACACGGAGCCGAAGACCACCAAACACCCCGCUCACCAAACACACCACCGCCGCCAAGUCCAAAGGAUAAAAGGAAGGACGACGACCCUCGUAGCAGUAAAAGGAAAAACGCCACCUACACGCGGGCGCGUACACAAGCGCCACGAAUAUAUACAAGCCAACCGA
rnacentral:lncRNA from 1 species